rnacentral:rRNA from 1 species
CUGAGUAAGGGCGUGUGGUGGAUGCCUUGACUGAAGAAGGCGAUGAAGGACGCGGC